UACGAAGGGGGCUAGCGUUGCUCGGAAUUACUGGGCGUAAAGCGCACGUAGGCGGACUAUUAAGUCAGGGGUGAAAUCCCGGGGCUCAACCCCGGAACUGCCUUUGAUACUGGUAGUCUUGAGUUCGAGAGAGGUGAGUGGAAUUCCGAGUGUAGAGGUGAAAUUCGUAGAUAUUCGGAGGAACACCAGUGGCGAAGGCGGCUCACUGGCUCGAUACUGACGCUAAGGUGCGAAAGCGUGGGGAGCAAACAGG
rnacentral:rRNA from 1 species